GAGUUUGAUCCUGGCUCAGAUUGAACGCUGGCGGCAUGCCUUACACAUGCAAGUCGAACGGUAACAGGUCUUCGGAUGCUGACGAGUGGCGAACGGGUGAGUAAUACAUCGGAACGUGCCCAGACGUGGGGGAUAACGAGGCGAAAGCUUUGCUAAUACCGCAUACGAUCUAAGGAUGAAAGCAGGGGACCGCAAGGCCUUGCGCGUUUGGAGCGGCCGAUGGCAGAUUAGGUAGUUGGUGGGAUAAAAGCUUACCAAGCCGACGAUCUGUAGCUGGUCUGAGAGGACGACCAGCCACACUGGGACUGAGACACGGCCCAGACUCCUACGGGAGGCAGCAGUGGGGAAUUUUGGACAAUGGGCGAAAGCCUGAUCCAGCAAUGCCGCGUGCAGGAUGAAGGCCUCGGUUG
rnacentral:rRNA from 1 species